AAUGGGAUAUUGACCCAUUUAACCUUAUUGCACUUUAAUGCAGCUUUGAUUGAACUUUGAACUCUGAUUGAACUUUGAACUCUGAUUGAACUUUGACCAUAUUGCAUUUUGAGUGGCGUUGUGCAUUUGUGACCUACCCAGUGCACAAUUCAGCCCAUUUUGGGGUCGCCACACUUGAUUGUUUGUUGUUGGGGAGACGACCCUGCGGCCGCUCCCAAAUUUUGUUCCUUAUGUCACCGCGACCAAAUAAGCCAAUUACAUUAAAAUAAAUCCCACCCAAAUUUUUACUUUGUGUCUUAUAUCUGUGAUAAUAGCGCAUAUUAAAGCGCAGUCUCAGAAUAUGCGCAUUUAUCUCAGUUUACUUUCCAUGCUCAUUCCGGAUUUAUCCGGGUUGCGCAUGCUGAGUUCCAAAAUAGUUUUUUACUAAGUGCUUUUCUAUAUUACGUCAUAUCCUUCUUUUCAAUCUUCACGUCAUACAAACUGGUAGGUUAAAAUUUUCUCUGUUGAAUUAUCAUUAUUUGCCUAACUAUUUCUUAAAAACCCACCCACCCUCCCCUUUUGGUUUUUUUUUAUAAAUUUGUAUAAUGUUAUAAUUGUUUUGUUGAAAUCAGAUACUGCUGUCUCUUUGUGUUAAAUUUUCAGGUGAAAUCCCAAAUCUGGACUUGCAGCCCUUCAAAGUCGCGGUGAACAUGUUGAAGACCUGGAGGUGAAUUUGAACCGGCGCUUUCGUCAAACCCCACCUCAAAUGGAACAGUGUUUUCUAAACCGUGUAUCAUUUUUGUGGCGCAAAUAGCGCUUUUCAUCAUUGCAACUUUGAUACAUGCAAAUUAUUAUGUUUAAUUAUACAAGUGUGUAUUAAAUGGGAUAUUGACCCAUUUAACCUUAUUGCACUUUAAUGCAGCUUUGAUUGAACUUUGAACUCUGAUUGAACUUUGAACUCUGAUUGAACUUUGACCAUAUUGCAUUUUGAGUGGCGUUGUGCAUUUGUGACCUACCCAGUGCACAAUUCAGCCCAUUUUGGGGUCGCCACACUUGAUUGUUUGUUGUUGGGGAGACGACCCUGCGGCCGCUCCCAAAUUUUGUUCCUUAUGUCACCGCGACCAAAUAAGCCAAUUACAUUAAAAUAAAUCCC
rnacentral:sRNA from 1 species